rnacentral:rRNA from 1 species
AGCGAACGCUGGCGGCAGGCCUAACACAUGCAAGUCGAACGGUGUCUUCGGACAUAGUGGCGCACGGGUGCGUAACACGUACGCAACCUACCUUACAUUGGGGGAUAGCCUUUCGAAAGGGAGAUUAAUACCGCAUAAGACAGUAGCUGGGCAUCCAGCAGCUGUUAAAGAUUUAUCGAUGUAAGCUGGGCAUGCGUCCAAUUAGCUAGUUGGUGAGGUAACGGCUCACCAAGGCAAUGAUUGGUAGGGGAACUGAGAGGUCAAUCCCCCACACUGGCACUGAGAUACGGGCCAGACUCCUACGGGAGGCAGCAGUAGGGAAUAUUGGGCAAUGGACGCAAGUCUGACCCAGCCAUGCCGCGUGCAGGAUGAAGGCGUUAUGCGUUGUAAACUGCUUUUAUACAGGAAGAAACGACUCUUGCGAGAGGCAUUGACGGUACUGUAUGAAUAAGCACCGGCUAACUCCGUGCCAGCAGCCGCAGUAACAC